AAAAUUUGUUGAACAUUUUGUUGUUUUAACAUAUAUAUCUAUGUUGCAUAUCGAAAGUUGAUAGUGAUAUCAUGUAACCAUUCGGCAAAAUUUAACUAGUUGAUUUAACAUAUCCUUUGGAUUUCAAUAUAUUUAUUUGCAACUAACGCCGUAGUAAGCCCUAGUUAGAGUAAAGAGAGUGAAAACAAUUUACUAUUAGGCUUCUUGUUCUUUUCUCUACGAUAUGAUCUUUUACCUCAGUUUUUUUUUUUUUUUUUUUUUCAUAACGUUUCGCCGUAAAAUUAUCAUGUCUAAAAUUAAUACUUUGUUGUUUUUUGAAAAAAAUAUGAUGCAGGGUUUAUGGAUGGGCUUGAUAUGUGGUCUAGCUUGCCAAGCUUCUGGCUUAUUGCUACUGACAUUGUGGAUCAGAUGGGAAAAAGCAGAGGUAUAAACACAGAGAAAUCUAGAAAAUGAACUUCUAGCUUAAGCAUGACUUCAUAAGAAUCACUUUCUUAUUGGGGACACUAGUUAUUAUUAUUAAUUAUGUGCAUGGUCUUUUCUUUUUAGAUUUCA